GGAAGGUUGGCUCGAGUGGUUGAAGGCACCUGAUUGAAAAUCGGGCGGGCGUCGAAAGGCGUCUCGCGGGUUCGAAUCCCGCACCUUAUU
rnacentral:tRNA from 1 species